UACGUCAGGUGGCAAGCGUUGUCCGGAUUUACUGGGCGUAAAGAGCGCGCAGGCGGUCGUUCAAGUCGCGUGUGAAAGCCCCCCGGCUCAACUGGGGAGGGUCACGCGAUACUGAUCGACUCGAAGGCAGGAGAGGGAAGUGGAAUUCCCGGUGUAGUGGUGAAAUGCGUAGAUAUCGGGAGGAACACCAGUGGCGAAGGCGACUUCCUGGCCUGUUCUUGACGCUGAGGCGCGAAAGCUAGGGGAGCAAACGGGG
rnacentral:rRNA from 1 species